rnacentral:rRNA from 1 species
UUGGAGGUUGUGCCCUUGAGGCGUGGCUUCCGGAGCUAACGCGUUAAGUCGACCGCCUGGGGAGUACGGCCGCAAGGUUAAAACUCAAAUGAAUUGACGGGGGCCCGCACAAGCGGUGGAGCAUGUGGUUUAAUUCGAUGCAACGCGAAGAACCUUACCUACUCUUGACAUCCAGAGAACUUACCAGAGAUGCAUUGGUGCCUUCGGGAACUCUGAGACAGGUGCUGCAUGGCUGUCGUCAGCUCGUGUUGUGAAAUGUUGGGUUAAGUCCCGCAACGAGCGCAACCCUUAUCCUUUGUUGCCAGCGGUUCGGCCGGGAACUCAAAGGAGACUGCCAGUGAUAAACUGGAGGAAGGUGGGGAUGACGUCAAGUCAUCAUGGCCCUUACGAGUAGGGCUACACACGUGCUACAAUGGCGCAUACAAAGAGAAGCGACCUCGCGAGAGCAAGCGGACCUCAUAAAGUGCGUCGUAGUCCGGAUUGGAGUCUGCAACUCGACUCCAUGAAGUCGGAAUCGCUAGUAAUCGUGGAUCAGAAUGCCACGGUGAAUACGUUCCCGGGCCUUGUACACACCGCCCGUCACACCAUGGGAGUGGGUUGCAAAAGAAGUAGGUAGCUUAACCUUCGGGAGGGCGCUUACCACUUUGUGAUUCAUGACUGGGGUGAAGUCGUACAAAGGGGUAACC